ensembl:snRNA U6 U6 spliceosomal RNA
GUGUUCACUUUGGCAGCACAUAUACACAAAUUGGAACUAUACAGAGAAGAAUAGCAUGGCUCCUGUGCAGGAUGAUAUGCAAAUUUGUGAAGCAUUCCACAUUAAA